AGACAAAAUACAACCCCGGCUGAUUCUUCUUCUUAUAAAAGGGAAAGCUUGAUCAAGUUGAAGCAGUCUUGUGAUCAGGAUUCUGUCAGUUCUAGGGAGCUAUUCAUGGGAACAUGGCAUGAGAAAGAGAAACUUCAGACUUACGCACCAGAUUGAAAAGGAGAACAGGUCGUCCUCACGGGCUGCUUCUUCCACGAAUAAAAGGGCAGAGGUUGAUCAAGUUGAAAGCAAUCUGAUGUUCCUAAUUCCAUUAAUUCCAGUUAGCGAUUCAUGGGGAAGAUAGCAGGAGAAAAGCAAACUUCAGAAUUCGUACAAGAUUAAGCACGUCGUUCACCAGCGAUUAACUCCUUCACCAGGUCGUUCUCCUCGACCCACUCCUUCACCAGAGCGGGCUCACCCUGCGGCUCGACUCCAGGGACUUCCUCCCGGAGGAGCAGGGCCGGCACCAG
rnacentral:lncRNA from 1 species